ensembl:lncRNA
UGGUGUGCUCCCUGCCUGCCAGUCCCCGCCAGCACCCCCCUUUACCAUCUCAAGCUUCCUACCUCACAUCAGAACACGGGAAAGGUCCGUGAAGUGGGACUGAGCACUCCGGUGCCUCACAGAUUGUGCUUACCUUCAUACCAGCAAGAAUGAAAGAAGGAAAGGGCGGGGACAUGCGCCAGGCUUGCCAAGACCAUCGUGGACUUCUGGAGCUACUGGAUUCAAACGAACUGAGAAAGCCAGAGUGCUGAGACUUUACGAUACCUGGGCAUCUGCAGCAGAGUCAGAGUCCAGCAACCUCGACUCCACGCAGGACAGACUCUGCUGUGUGAUUCUCCUCUAGAACUCCUGCACACCUCGGAUCAGGCUGAGACUGAAAGCUAUCCCUCUUGCUGUACCCUCUCAUACCAAUUUCCCCAGGAGCACUUUUUUUUUUCUUUUUUCUUACAAUAACCUUUUUACUUUAGAGUACAUUUUGAUUUACAGAAAAUUUUCAGAUAGUACAAUAUACUGUACUUCCUAUAUGUGGGAUUCCCAUAUACCCCAUAUCCAAUUUAGACUACAUAAAAAAUAAACAGAAACCUUAACUGAAUAGAGUUGAGAAACCAGAAGGAAAAGCUCUCAUGCCCUGUGACUAUAGCAGAGUUCAACAGGAAGAAGAAAGACUCCUCUUCUCAUCUGGCAAGGACUCAAUCAGUGAAAAGCCAUGGAGUCUUUGUUUAUUUCCUUGGUAGCUCAGCUGACAGAGAAGCUUCCUGCAAUGCAGGAGACCUCGACCCAAUCCCUGGGUUAAGAAGAUCCCCUGGAGAAGGGAACGGCUACCCG